rnacentral:rRNA from 1 species
GACGAACGCUUGCGGCGUGCUUAACACAUGCAAGUCGAACGGAAAGGCCCUGCUUUUGUGGGGUGCUCGAGUGGCGAACGGGUGAGCAACACGUGAGUAACCUGCCCUUGACUUUGGGAUAACUUCAGGAAACUGGGGCUAAUACCGGAUAGGAGCUCCUGCUGCAUGGUGGGGGUUGGAAAGUUUCGGCGGUUGGGGAUGGACUCGCGGCUUAUCAGCUUGUUGGUGGGGUAGUGGCUUACCAAGGCUUUGACGGGUAGCCGGCCUGAGAGGGUGACCGGCCACAUUGGGACUGAGAUACGGCCCAGACUCCUACGGGAGGCAGCAGUGGGGAAUAUUGCACAAUGGGCGGAAGCCUGAUGCAGCAACGCCGCGUGCGGGAUGACGGCCUUCGGGUUGUAAACCGCUUUCGCCUGUGACGAAGCGUGAGUGACGGUAAUGGGUAAAGAAGCACCGGCUAACUACGUGCCAGCAGCCGCGGUGAUACGUAGGGUGCGAGCGUUGUCCGGAUUUAUUGGGCGUAAAGGGCUCGUAGGUGGUUGAUCGCGUCGGAAGUGUAAUCUUGGGGCUUAACCCUGAGCGUGCUUUCGAUACGGGUUGACUUGAGGAAGGUAGGGGAGAAUGGAAUUCCUGGUGGAGCGGUGGAAUGCGCAGAUAUCAGGAGGAACACCAGUGGCGAAGGCGGUUCUCUGGGCCUUUCCUGACGCUGAGGAGCGAAAGCGUGGGGAGCGAACAGGCUUAGAUACCCUGGUAGUCCACGCUGUAAACGGUGGGUACUAGGUGUGGGGUCCAUUCCACGGGUUCCGUGCCGUAGCUAACGCUUUAAGUACCCCGCCUGGGGAGUACGGCCGCAAGGCUAAAACUCAAAGGAAUUGACGGGGCCCCGCACAAGCGGCGGAGCAUGCGGAUUAAUUCGAUGCAACGCGUAGAACCUUACCUGGGUUUGACAUGGAUCGGGAGUGCUCAGAGAUGGGUGUGCCUCUUUUGGGGUCGGUUCACAGGUGGUGCAUGGCUGUCGUCAGCUCGUGUCGUGAGAUGUUGGGUUAAGUCCCGCAACGAGCGCAACCCUUGUUCACUGUUGCCAGCACGUUAUGGUGGGGACUCAGUGGAGACCGCCGGGGUCAACUCGGAGGAAGGUGGGGAUGACGUCAAGUCAUCAUGCCCCUUAUGUCCAGGGCUUCACGCAUGCUACAAUGGCUGGUACAGAGAGUGGCGAGCCUGUGAGGGUGAGCGAAUCUCGGAAAGCCGGUCUCAGUUCGGAUUGGGGUCUGCAACUCGACCUCAUGAAGUCGGAGUCGCUAGUAAUCGCAGAUCAGCAACGCUGCAGUGAAUACGUUCCCGGG